UACGUAGGUUGCAAGCGUUGUUCGGAAUUAUUGGGCGUAAAGCGCGCGCAGGCGGUCCUUUAAGUCUGAUGUGAAAGCCCUCGGCUCAACCGAGGAAGGUCAUUGGAAACUGGAGGACUUGAGUGCAGAAGAGGAAAGUGGAAUUCCAAGUGUAGCGGUGAAAUGCGUAGAGAUUUGGAGGAACACCAGUGGCGAAGGCGACUUUCUGGUCUGUAACUGACGCUGAGGCGCGAAAGCGUGGGGAGCAAACAGG
rnacentral:rRNA from 1 species